rnacentral:rRNA from 1 species
GAUGAACGCUAGCGGCAGGCUUAAUACAUGCAAGUCGUGGGGCAGCACAGGUAGCAAUACUGGGUGGCGACCGGCAAACGGGUGCGGAACACGUACGCAACCUUCCUUUAAGCGGGGAAUAGCCCAGGGAAACUUGGAUUAAUACCCCAUAAGACAAUGGUGUGGCAUCACACAGUUGUUAAAGCCCCGGCACUUAAAGAUGGGCGUGCGGCUGAUUAGGUAGUUGGCGGGGUAACGGCCCACCAAGCCGACGAUCAGUAACUGGUGUGUGAGCACGACCAGUCACACGGGCACUGAGACACGGGCCCGACUCCUACGGGAGGCAGCAGUAAGGAAUAUUGGGCAAUGGGCGCAAGCCUGACCCAGCCAUCCCGCGUGCAGGAUGAAGGCCCUCUGGGUCGUAAACUGCUUUUGUUGGGGAAGAAAAAGCGCGAUUCUUCGCGCCUUGACGGUACCCAACGAAUAAGCACCGGCUAACUCCGUGCCAGCAGCCGCGGUAAUACGGAGGGUGCAAGCGUUAUCCGGAUUCACUGGGUUUAAAGGGUGCGUAGGCGGCCUUGCAAGUCAGUGGUGAAAGCCCGCAGCUCAACUGCGGAACUGCCAUUGAAACUGCUUGGCUGGAGUAUUAUUGAAGUGGGCGGAAUAUAUCAUGUAGCGGUGAAAUGCUUAGAUAUGAUAUAGAACACCGAUUGCGAAGGCAGCUCACUAAAUAGUAACUGACGCUGAGGCACGAAAGCGUGGGUAGCGAACAGGAUUAGAUNCCNUGGUAGUCCACNCCNUAAACGANGAAUACUCGANGUAUGCUCCAUUAGGGGUGUGNGUNCAAGCAAAAGCGUUAAGUAUUCCACCUGGGAAGUACG